rnacentral:rRNA from 1 species
UACGUAGGUGGCGAGCGUUAUCCGGAUUUAUUGGGCGUAAGGGGAACGCAGGCGGUCUUUUAAGUCUGAUGUGAAAGCCUUCGGCUUAACCGGAGUAGUGCAUUGGAAACUGGGAGACUUGAGUGCAGAAGAGGAGAGUGGAACUCCAUGUGUAGCGGUGAAAUGCGUAGAUAUAUGGAAGAACACCAGUGGCGAAAGCGGCUCUCUGGUCUGUAACUGACGCUGAGGUUCGAAAGCGUGGGUAGCAGACAGG